CAAGGUUUCCGUAGGUGAACCUGCGGAAGGAUCAUUGUCGAAGCCUAGAAAGCAUGACCGUGGACAAGUUGUUAAUCGUGGAUGCACUUGGAUCCUUCGGGUACUCCAUUUGCCUUCCCCUCGGUCGKUGAUGAGCCUUGCGCCCCUCGCUGAUCGAAACGAAUGAACCCCGGCGCGGAUCGCGCCAAGGAAUCGAAACCGAAAGAGCCUGGCUCGGUGGCUCGUUCUCGGGCUGCCAGGGCCAUAGGUCUAUUCGAAAUACC
rnacentral:misc_RNA from 1 species